UGCCGGCCGCGCCUCAGGGCUGUGCGGGCAGGGGAGGCCGGGGCUGAGCCCGCGCCAACCCUUCCCUCCUGCCGCUCUCUCUGCAGCUGGCAGAGGACAGGAGCCGAGCGGCCGAGCACCUGCGCCGGGCCCUGCCCUACGUGCAGAGCCCACAGGAGCCCCUGCGAGCGGCGGCCAUCAGGUUCAUGGGCAUGGCCGCGCGGCACCUGAGGGGGAAGAAGGAAGAGCUCCGGCUCAUCUGCACUGCCCUUGAACACCUGACAGAGGACACCAGCAGUGCCGUGUCGGACCUGGCACGUCAAACAUUGUAUGUCCUCCAGGCCCUGCAGAGGGAGCGAUAUUCCGUCUUCCAGAGGGUGCAAGAACAUCUCCGCUGGGCAUGGAGGACACGGCCUCGU